rnacentral:rRNA from 1 species
AUACGUAGGGGGCGAGCGUUGUCCGGAAUGAUUGGGCGUAAAGGGCGCGUAGGCGGCCCGGUAAGUCUGGAGUGAAAGUCCUGUUUUUAAGAUGGGAAUUGCUUUGGAUACUGUCGGGCUUGAGUGCAGGAGAGGUAAGUGGAAUUCCCAGUGUAGCGGUGAAAUGCGUAGAGAUUGGGAGGAACACCAGUGGCGAAGGCGACUUACUGGACUGUAACUGACGCUGAGGCGCGAAAGUGGGGGGAGCAAACAGGAUUAGAUACCCUGGUAGUCCACACUGUAAACGAUGAAUGCUAGGUGUAGGGGGUAUCGACCCCUUCUGUGCCGCAGUCAACACAAUAAGCAUUCCGCCUGGGGAGUACGGCCGCAAGGUUGAAACUCAAAGGAAUUGACGGGG